UACGGAGGGUGCGAGCGUUAAUCGGAAUUACUGGGCGUAAAGCGCACGCAGGCGGUUUGUUAAGCUAGAUGUGAAAGCCCCGGGCUCAACCUGGGAUGGUCAUUUAGAACUGGCAGUCUAGAGUCUUGGAGAGGGGAGUGGAAUUCCAGGUGUAGCGGUGAAAUGCGUAGAUAUCUGGAGGAACAUCAAUGGCGAAGGCGACUCCCUGGCCAAAGACUGACGCUCAUGUGCGAAAGUGUGGGUAGCGAACAGG
rnacentral:rRNA from 1 species